rnacentral:rRNA from 1 species
GCAAGUCGAACGAGAACGCUCCUUCGGGAGUUAUUAAAGUGGCGCACGGGUGAGGAACGCGUAGGUAAUCUACCCUCUGGCGGGGGACAACACUCCGAAAGGAAUGCUAAUACCGCGUAAGACCACACUCACUACGGUGAGAGCGGUUAAAGGUGCCUCAAAGCACCACCAGAGGAUGAGCCUGCGUCCCAUCAGCUUGUUGGUAAGGUAAUGGCUUACCAAGGCGACGAUCAGUAGCUGGUCUGAGAGGAUGGAC